rnacentral:rRNA from 1 species
CGCGCAGGCGGUUUGUCAAGUCAGAUGUGAAAGCCCACGGCUUAACCGUGGAAGUGCAUUUGAAACUGGCAGACUUGAGUAUCAGAGGGGAAAGUGGAAUUCCCGGUGUAGAGGUGAAAUUCGUAGAUAUCGGGAGGAAUACCGGUGGCGAAGGCGACUUUCUGGCUGAAUACUGACGCUGAGGCGCGAAAGCGUGGGGAGCAAACAGGAUUAGAUACCCUGGUAGUCC